GGAGAGGUGCCGGAGUGGUCGAACGGGCCUGACUCGAAAUCAGGUGACCCCGCAAGGGGUCCCAGGGUUCGAAUCCCUGCCUCUCCGCCA
rnacentral:tRNA from 1 species